rnacentral:rRNA from 1 species
GAUGAACGCUGGCGGCGUGCCUAAUACAUGCAAGUCGAGCGAACGGACGAGAAGCUUGCUUCUCUGAUGUUAGCGGCGGACGGGUGAGUAACACGUGGAUAACCUACCUAUAAGACUGGGAUAACUUCGGGAAACCGGCGCUAAUACCGGAUAAUAUUUUGCACCGCAUGGUUCAAAAGUGAAAGACGGUCUUUCUGUCACUUAUAGAUGGUUCUCCGCUGCAUUAGCUAGUUGGUAAGGUAACGGCUUAUCAAGGCAACGAUGCAUAGCCGACCUGAGAGAGUGAUAGGCCACACUGGAAGGGAGACAGGGUCAAGGGGCCUAAGGGAGGGCGCAGUAGGGAAUCUGACGCAAUAGGCGAGAGUCUGACAGAGCAAGGACGCGUGAGUGAUGAAGGUGUUCGGAGCGUAAAAAUCGGUUAUGGGGGAAGAACAGAUGUGGAAGGAAAUGAGGAGAGAGUGACGGUACCUAAUCAAGAAGCAACGGCUAACUACGUG